rnacentral:lncRNA from 1 species
ACUUUCUUUGUUGCAUUUACUAUUUGGAGAGUAAAAGAGAUUUUUCUUAAUAUUAAAUAUUUUGAGUUAUAGUACCUUUUUACAUAAUUUUCAUAUAUACUAUUUUUAUUUUCAAAAGAUUGAAGAAUUUAUGUCCAAAUUCACACCAAAAAUUAAGUGUUGUGAACCCUUGUAGUCUUUAUAGUAGUUCAACUGAUGAUAAAGUAUCAAACCUACAAGUUUAGAGUCAACAAUAUAAGUCUUGAACGGUCAAUGUAGAAAACUAUGCUAUAGUUUGUAAAUGUAAUUAGCUCCUUAUUUACAAGUAAAAUUUAUAUCUUAAAAGGUGCAUUAUAAAUACAAUUAACCACAAAAUGUAAGUAUUUGUUUGAGAAAUUCACAAGAAACAGUUCGUGAUAUUAGGAUUUUAUUUAAAUCAACUUAAACUCAACCAUGUGAGCUAUAGUAGGUUGACAAUUAACGUAAAUAUAGUCUAAUUAUUAUUUUAAUAUAUUCUUUAGACACUAAUUUGAAUACUUGAAUAAAGCUGAACAAAUAAUUCGUAUAACGGAACCCAAUUAGUUUAUUUGAUUUUUAAUUAAUAAGAAGCUGCGGAACCCUAAAAAAAUUAUGAACUACAUUUAAUAAAUCUCUAUUUUCUCAGCUUCUAGUAUAUUGCUGCAUGUCCUAAUUGACCACUCCCACAACGACAAACAAAUUGUGAUAUUUCUUCUUUUAUAUACAUUUUUUUGUGGUUAAAUACCUGCCAUUUACUAGUUUAACUUAUGCAUAUCUUUUUGGUUUCACUACGUUGAGCUAAUUCUUUUUUGCUUUUUCUUUUGCAAGAUACUAUUUGCCCCUUGAGAAAAAAGGGAAAAGUUCUAAUGAUAAGAGUGAAAUAAACAUCUAACAUUAGAUGACAAGGAAGAAGAGGUGCCUUGAACACGGUAAUUAUUUUUGUGUGAUCAAUAAGUUACGGGUUCGAGCCUUAUAAUCCGUUUUUGAUAUUUGCGUCAGAAUAAUUACUUAUAUCACACUCACUUAGGAUGUAAUCCUUCACUAAACCCUAUGUGAACGCGAGAUAUUUCAUGCACGUGACUGUGCUCUAAAAUGAUAAAGUACAAAUCCCAUGCCAAGUUCGGAUGGUAAAGUAUCAAACCUACCAAGUAGCUUGAUGACAAAAUACUACCCUACCAAGUGAUGGUGAAGGAUGAAAUAUACGACAAUCUAUAUUGUGACGAGAUCGUAACUCAAACACGACGAUCUGUCCGGCCUAGCGAACUUUCAAUGCCAA